CAGAGGGUGCGAGCGUUGUUCGGAAUUAUUGGGCGUAAAGGGAGUGUAGGCUGUUUGGAAAGUCUUCUGUGAAAUCUACGGGCUUACCCUGUAAAGUGCAGAGGAAACUACCAGGCUUGAGUGUCGGAGAGGACAGGGGAAUACCCAGUGUAGAGGUGAAAUUCGUAGAGAUUGGGUGGAACACCAGUGGCGAAGGCGCCUGUCUGGCUGACAACUGACGCUGAGACUCGAAAGCAUGGGGAGCAAACAGGAUUAGAUACCCUGGUAGUCCAUGCCGUAAACGACGAUAGCUAGAUGUGUGAGGUAUUGACCCCUUACGUGUCGAAGUCAACACGAUAAGCUAUCCGCCUGGGGAGUACGGUCGCAAGAUUA
rnacentral:rRNA from 1 species